rnacentral:rRNA from 1 species
GGGCCCGCACAAGCGGUGGAGUAUGUGGUUUAAUUCGAUGCAACGCGAAGAACCUUACCAGGGCUUAAAUGUAAGUUGCAUUAGUUAGAGAUAGCUAUUUCUUCGGACCACUUACAAGGUGCUGCAUGGUUGUCGUCAGCUCGUGCCGUGAGGUGUCAGGUUAAGUCCUAUAACGAGCGCAACCCCUGUUGUUAGUUGCCAGCGAGUCAUGUCGGGAACUCUAACAAGACUGCCGGUGCAAACCGUGAGGAAGGUGGGGAUGACGUCAAAUCAUCACGGCCCUUACGUCCUGGGCUACACACGUGCUACAAUGGUCGGUACAGAGAGCAGCCACUACGCGAGUAGGAGCGAAUCUUCAAAGCCGAUCACAGUUCGGAUCGCAGUCUGCAACUCGACUGCGUGAAGCUGGAAUCGCUAGUAAUCGGAUAUC